CAUGCACAGGAACAAUUUGCAAAGAAUACAUUUAUUAUCAGCAUGAGUGCUUCGUCUUGCAAGAUGGAAAUUAUACAUAGCCCUUUUUUUGAAGCAAGACCGGACACAUUGCACUCAUUUGUAGCUUAUAACAUUCUUGUGGAGCCUUCCGCCGGAUUGGUACCUCCAAUGAAAUGAUGCAAAGCAUUUGCAAAUUGUUCCGUGUGAUCUAUAGGUGCUUAGCGACAGUGCAUCCAACAAUGAAUUUGAACAAAUAAAAGAGGCAUGAAUAUGAUAUGCAUUUGAUUCAGAACUGACCAAUCGAUUGCGAGUUAAAGUAGAAAUAAAAAAUUUCAUUCAAACAUAAUUUGCUUCAUUGCCCUCCCGUAUAUUACUCUUUUGUGAUGUUACAUAAUGAUGUUCCUGGUCAUGUUUCAUGUAAGUUUUCAUAUGCAAAGCUCCAUUUGUUAAAAUAGUAGAUCAAAUAACGUCAUGUUGAUUGCUAUCAACAACGAAAGAAAAACAUGUCAAAGAAUAAACUGAUACUCCCUCUGUAAACUAAUAUAAGAGCGUUUAGAUAACUAAAAUAGUGAUCUAAACACUCUUAUAUUAGUUUACGGAGGGUGUACAUAGCAACAUCAGAACUGUUAAUCAAAAUAUUUCUUAAGUUUAGGCAACUCUUUUGUAAAUUGAAAGCUAAUCUUUUGGUCUAGUGUGUAUUCUAGCCCUUCUACUAAAGUGUAAGUGCAUAAUUAUCAUAACUCUUGGAAUUUUCCAAAAUCGUAUGGCACGCCGAAAUCAUACUCCAUGCUGUGUCAAAUAACCACAUUCAUUCCUUUCACCAAUCGAUUGUGGUGGAACGCCAAAAAAAUUUGUACGGGUCCAUAUGAUUAAAAACAUGCAUAAAAAGGAAUCAUUUAGAAGUGUGCCUGAAAAGUAACAUGCAAGCUAUAGAACUUAGUUACGAAUAAGGGAAAUCCUAAGUGCUAAAAUGUAAAAUGACCAAAGAGAUAAGGUUAUCCUGCCAUGCUCUCUCUGCUCUUGUGCGGCACACCGUAGCGUUGGCUCGCCGCAGAGACAUCGCCGGCUCGCCACCGUGAGUUAUAGAGGUGGCGGGAGCAGCGAAGGGGCCGAGCGCUGCCGUGUGUCGUGCGACAGCCACACCGUAGGUAGCCACUCACGGCAACUACGCGCACGCACGCACCGGCCGCCGUCGCGCCGCGAGCUUCGCCUGUCCGCGCACUGCCGCAACCACACGUGAGUUCUUCCAACACGCACCGCCCAUGGUCGACCUGUGAGCCACACAUGCACCGCCGCGAAGCGCUGCUUGAUCCCCUCCAUGGACUCGUGCUCGCCGUCGCAGUCCGUCGCCCUAGCCGCGGAGAGGGCCAAGAUCCGUGGAGCUGCUCGUGGAGUGAGUAUAUCGUCCCCGUGCAUGUCUGGUGGGGUAUCGUUUGGGUUGGGGCGUUGGGCGGCAGGGAUGGCGAAUUCCUCCUCAGGUGUCGGCGUGUCGCAGGGUGGUGCAGCUCCUAUGUUUCUAGAAAUAAAACUUAUGAUUAUAUAUUAUCAUCUAAGGUGAAAUGUUGAAAGGGCUCUUGGAUUGUUUGCCUCGCUUAGGGUGGUGCGGUCUUAUAUUUCAAGAAAUAAAAUCUCAUGGUCAUAUGCUAUCAGUUAAGGUGAAUCCAUGAAAGGCCGCCUGAAUUGUAUGCCUUGCUCAGGUUGUCCAGCAGGUUCACUGAACUCUGCAUCAGCAAAAUGUAUCUGAAACCCACACCCCGAUUAGUUCCAACUGCGACGGGCGGCGGGCGGCGCAGUGCUCCGUUGCGUCCUGAGCAGGGGCGUGCCGCCGGCUAGCAUCGGUCUCCGGAGGACGUGCACGAACGCGCCCGCGACGGUGCUGGCCGUGCUGGGAUCGGGGAACCUCCUCAAUGGUGCCGCAUUAAUUGCGCCAAGUAGAAACCGGAUUCACGGCCUCUACCAGUAUCUCCGGAGUCGUUAUAAUCACCUGCCUUUUCUGGCUAAUCACGGCCUCAAGUACUGUUUUAAACCGCAACUAGCAGCCUACAGCAUCAUCUGUUUGGCGCCAAGGCAGACUGAUGCAAGAUUACGGAGCUUAAUAAGCCUAGUGCCUACUGCCUAGGCACUAGGUAGCACUCAUGGCGGCCGCCGCGUUCGGGAGAGACGGACGAAUCCGCCUCCGCCUCCGCCUCCGGCGGACAGAAGCCUGCGUCCCGUACUCUACCUAUAUAUACCGGCCGCUUCGCCGGAGAGCUCCAUCCAGCCAGCCAAGCCAAGCCAAGCCAAGCGGGUCUGAUCGGAGGAGCAGAGGAAGAAGCAAAGCACGCGCACCGCCGGUCUGCAGCCACGAUGGCCCGCCGCAAGGUCCCCAUGAGGCUCAUCGAAAAGGCGCGGGCGCGCGCCGAGACGCACGCCAGGAGGACCAAGGGGCUGCAGAAGAAGGCGUCCGAGCUCGCCACGCUCUGCGCGGUCCCGGUCGCGCUCGUCUGCGCCGCAGGCGCGGGGGCUCCGCUGCUCGUGUGGGAGUCGGAGGAGGGAGUGCUCGAGAGGUACCGUCGCGCCGUCCCGGCGGAGACCCGCGCGCGGCACACGCACCGGAGCUACAUGGAGACGGAGCUGGGCAAGGAGAGGGCCAAGCUCGCCCGGACACGGCACGGCUGCCCCGGCGCGCUCGCGGACUGGGACGCUGCGCUCAACGACAUGACGCUGGAGGAGGCGCGCGGGCUGCUCGAGACCAUCGACGCUGCACUGCAAGCCACGGGAGACAGGAUGGAGGCGCUGGGCAUACCUGCCGACGGCGGCCACGGCCCGCUCGAGGGUUCUUCCCACGAAGCCCUCAUGCCGCAGCAGCUUGGGCAGGGUGGCGGCAACCCUGUGGACAUGGAGGCCGCCGGCUUCCAGCAGCUGCAGAUGGUGCCGUUCCACGCUGGGAGCAACGAGGGCCUACUCGAGCAAUUCUCAUGGGACGAUCCCUUCCGGACGCAGUCAGGGUGCGUCGGCGGCAACUACUCGGGCGGCGGCGACGCGAUGCUCUCGCAAGGCCACGCCAAUGCCGGCUACAAUUACUCGGCCGGCGGUGACGAGAUGCUCACGCUAGGCCUCGCCAAUGCUGACUACAACUACUCGGCCGGCGGCGACGAGAUGCUCGCGCUAGGCCUUGCCAAUGCUGACUACAACUACUCGGGCGGCAAGGACGAGAUGCUCGCGCCGGGCUUCGCCAAUGCUGACUACAACAACUCCUCCAGCGGCGGCGAGAUGCUCCCGCCUGGCUUUGGCAAUGCUGACUACGACUGGACUGAUCUCACCAUGUGGGUUGCCGCGACGAGUUGUGCGAUGCAGUCAUGCCACUUGGGUGCUACCCUGACUUCGCCGACGGUACUCUUCCGCCCGAGUACUCCGCUCAGGUCGUCACCGGCAGGGACUACGUCAAUACACCACCAUCUAGCGGGUACGGGUACCCAAUGGCCAUGGGCGUGGGCGACAACUUCACUCAUCUCGACAGCAACUACAUGGCGCACUGGCAUUCGACACAAGUAGUCUGUUGCUAGGCGAAAUGCAGUCGUAGUUUUCGAGCUAGAAUAUUUUAAUUCUCACACAUGUGAAGUUAGAAUUUUGCAGAAUUAUAUGAUUUAUCAAUAUUACGUGCAUGAUUUUGUACAGAAAUUUUGAAACAUUAACCAUCAGUUAUGGAAUUUUCACGAAAAGAGUAUGAGCUCCUCUUCACAAAGUUUCCUUUUUUGGAUAACGCUUCACAGUUCACAAAGUUCAUGCUCGGAAACUCCACUCAAGGGUAGAAACAGUCGGUGUCGAAUACGCAUGCAUACAUCUAAUGUGUCUCGCUAUGACAGGCUGAUUUACUUUAUUUGAACAAUCCAUUUGUAACCUUUUGUUAUAUCUUUGUCCAUGAGAUCUCUUAACAAGCCUUUCAUACUUUUGGAUGGCAUCCAAAAACAGAGCACAUAGCCACAUACUAGAAGGAAAACCGUUUGCCGCAGCCGGGAAAAACUAACUUAAACGUGCCUGACACUCACAUCAGUGUACAUUACUUCUCUGUUGUCAAUGUGAAGGUUGCAUUUUCAUUAUCAGUCCGUGACAGAAAAAGUAUAUGGCAUGUUCAUUAUUUAGGAGUUGACUAAAUAUUAAGGUUAGCAAAACCAGUCGAUUCACAGAGCAAUGUGUUUAUUUUAUUGUCUUUUCUUCUCUUUGUAGCGUAUGCGGAUUGAUAAAUGGUUCACGUGAUGCAUCAUUUGAUAUGACAUACCACUAGAUAGAUCUACUUUUUGCUCUAACCAAAUGGUGAACUCCAAGACCGUCAUAGGAUUAAUUACUAUUCCAUCCAUCUAGAGUUAACUGUCGUUGAAAUGAGUGUAUGUAGACACAUUUUGCAGAUUCACUCAUUCCAAUGACAGUUGUAGAAUCACUCAUUUUAGUGACAGUUAAUUCUGGAGCGCGGUAGUACAUCUAAUUGUGCACUAACCGAAGGGAAAAAAAUGCCCGUUGACUUCAGGAAAAAAAGACCAAAAUCACUAGGACAAAAAGUGUGAAUAAUAACUUGUAUAUAAUGUUGAUUUUGUAUUUUUACAGUAUCAUGAAUAUUUUUCUUAGACCAAACUUUUUAUACAAAUACAACAGAGAGUCAUCUUUAGUUAAAAAAAGUUUCAUUUUUUUGACUUUUUUGUAAUUACAUUUUUUUUCAUAUAGGAUGUAUAUACACCCACGAACCAAAUGUGCUUGUCCUGUCUUAAGGACAAGCACGUUUACCUCCUCGGUGUCUAAACACCCGAUAUGAAAAAAUAGUGAUUGAAAAAAAAUCAAAAAAUUCCAAAACUUUUUUUUGUAAUAAACUUGACCUUCAGUUGUAUUCAUAUAAAAAGUUUGUCCUAGGAAAUAAAUUCCAUGGUAUUGUUGGUGAAAAAAUCAACAACACUAUAUACAGGUUACUAUUGACACUUUUUCCUUGAGAUUUUAUUUUUAGCCCUGAAGUCGGCGUGUAGUUUUUCCUUCGUGAAACUUUUUAUACGAGUACAACAGAAGGUCAAGUUUAUUUAACAAAAAUGUUUCACAUUUUUUACUUUUCUUGAAAUUUUCCUAUAUCAGCUGUAUAUACAUCCGAGAGCCAAAGGGGAUUUUCUAGUCUUACAGGAAAUACCCUUUGGUGGUUGGGUGCACAUACACUUGAUAUGGGAAAAAGAAUACAAAAAUUUAAAAAAAUCAAUUUUUUUGAAACUUUUAAAAAAUAAACUUGACCUUCUGUUGUACUCGUAAAAAAAGUUUCACCAAUGAAAAAUAUCCAUCACUUCAGUGAAAAAACAAAAUCACAAGGACAAGAAGUGUGAAUGGUAAGUUGUAUAUAGUGUUGAUUUUUGUUUUUUUAACCAACAAUACCAUGGAAUUGUUUCUUUGGCCAAACAUUUUAUACGAAUACAACAGCAGGUCAAGUUUAUUUCAUAAAAUGUUUUGGAAUUUUAUGACUAUUUUCAUAGUUACUUUUUUUAUAUUUAUGGCGCAUGCACACCCAGAAACCAGACGUGCUUGUCCAGUCUUAUGGGAAAUACCCUUUUGGCUCUCGGGUGUAUAUACAUCUAUCUGAUAUGGGGAAAUCAUAAAAAUUUCAAGAAAAAGUAAAAAAACUCUGAAAGAUUUUAUGAAAUAAAAUUGACCUUCUGUUGUACUCGUACAAAAAGUUUCACGAAGGAAAAAAUUCGCGUCGACUACAGGGAAAAAAAUUCAAGGACAAAAAGUGUGAAUAGUAACAUGUAUAUAGUAUUGCUUUUGUUUGUUUUUCAUCAACAAUAAAAUGGAUUUUUUGCUUGGCUAAACAUUUUAUACGAACACAAUAGAAGAUCAAGUUUAUUUUAAAAUAAGUUUCAGAAUUUUUUGACUUUUUUGUAAUACUUGUUUUUCAUAUAAGGUGUAUAUACACUCAGGAAUUAGGCGUGCUUGUCCAGUCUUACGAGAAAUUCCCUUUGGCUCUCGUGUGUGUAUAUACACCUGGUAUGAGAAAAAUAUACAAAUUUCAAGAAAAGUCAAAAAAAUCUGAAACUUUUUAAAAAUACAUUUGACCUUUUGUACUCAUAUAAAAAGUUUCACGAAGGAAAUAAUUCCUGUCGACUUCAGGGGAAAAAAGAAAAAUUCAAAGACAAAACGUGUAAAUAGUAACUUGUAUAUCUCCUUGUAUAUAGUGUUUAUUUUUUGUCACCAACAAUGCCAUGGAUUUCUUUUUCCAUGGCCAAACUUCUUAUACGAAUACAACAGCAGGUCAAGUUUCUUUAAAAAAAACUCCAUUUUAUUUUUUGACUUGUAUAUAGUGUUUAUUUUUUUGUAGUUACUAUUUUUUGUAGUAAAUAGUAACUUGUAUAUCUCCAUGUAUAUAGUGUUUAUUUUUUUUGUAGUUACUAUUUUUUUUUAAAGGAACAAACAUGUAUUCCAUAACCAACUACUUGCCGCCAGUAUCACCAGCUACAAGGUUUGUUACAAAUUCA